GUAAAAAAACUUCAUCUAUUUUUACUAUUAGAAAUUGAGGUGAAUGACAAAAUAACCAGAUAAUAACAAGUGGUAUGCCAUGCGUACCUCAUGUUGGUGUAUGGUGACUAGUUUUUAAUAGCAGAAAUGGAUGAAUUUUUUAA
rfam:Gossypium hirsutum cultivar TM-1 chromosome 20, whole genome shotgun sequence